CUUCUUCAUUUCAGAACAUUUUUCCUAAGUAUAAUUCUGAGUUGACAUUUCUUUUCUUCCAUCACUUGACAAAAUACUUGUCUCUCUAUUUUGGCCUUCAUAGCUUCUGAGGAGAAGUCCAUCGUCAUUUGAAUUGGUUUUCCCCUAACAGGUAAGUUAUUCUUUCUCUCUCACUACUUUCAAUAUUCUCUGUCCUUAGUUGUCAGAAGUUUGACUAUAGUAUAACUUGGUCUGGAUUUAUUUGUUUAAAACCUCUUUGAAGACUUUCUCAAAUUCUCAAAUCUAUAGAUUUAAUGUUCUUUGACAACUUUGGGAAAUUUUCAUUCAUUUGUUUUCCUUCUAGUACUCUCCCUCCUGCCAUAUCUCUUAUCUUCUAGUACUCUGAUGACACAAAUAUCAGAUCUUUUGCAAUAGUCGCACUGAUCCUUGAGGCUUUACCCAGUUUUCCCCCAGGGUAUGUCUCUCCAUUGUUCAAGACCGGUGAUUUCUAUUACUUCAUCUCCCAGUUCACUGAUUUUUUUUCUUCUGUCCCCUCAUUUCCGCUGGUUAGGACAUCCAGUGAGUUUUUAUUUCCAUUAUUGUAUUUGUCAAUUCUAGAAUUCCCAUUUGGUAAUCUGUACUUUCUAUUUUUUUGAUGGGACUUUCUAUUACUUCGCUGAG
rnacentral:lncRNA from 1 species